rnacentral:rRNA from 1 species
UGCAGCAGCCAUAUCACUCUGCAACUCACCACUGGCAACCCACUGAAGAUCAGUAGGUGAGAGCCUGUUCAGUACCUGGAUGGGAGAUCUCCUGGGAAAAACUAAGGUUGCUGCUGAAA